rnacentral:lncRNA from 1 species
AUAAAGGGAGGCGUGUGAGCGUGAGUGGCUUUGUCAAGUCUUUAGCAAGGGGGGAUGUGGUGGCGCAAAGUAGAGACCAGACCAUUAUUUUAAAGGAGGUUUGGGGAUGUUUCCCUUUCACCGAACCACGUUGGGUUAAGGAUGGCUCAGAGACGUCAGGUCAGACCACUGAGCGCACCACCCAGGGAGGUCACACCCCUCUCCCCACACCUCCACUCUCACCGAUCCCCAUACAAAUUCUGCAGCCUUUCUUUGUACUGUGUUUUUUUUUCCUUUUAGUAUUCAAUUUUAAAAGGAAAAUAUAUUAACACUUUAUUACUGUACUUCAUCACAUGUGCAGAUAUCUGCAUGUUUUGAGCACCAAAAUGCUCAAUCAGGACCGUUAAAGUUCGGUUCUGAUCAUGGGCUUGUUUGGAUCAGACGGUGAGAGGUGAAGGCAGAGUAAGAGCUGGGGUAAGUUUAACAAGUAAAGCCUAUAAUUCCCCUUCAUUCCCUACCACAAAAAGCUGUUGGCUAUCUUCGGGGGGAGCACGGGGCGGUGGGGUUCAUGGUGAAGAAGAUUAGGGGAGGAUCUCCCUCAAUUUUACAACAGGUUUGACAUGUCAAAUCAGCUUUAUGAUUCCAAAGAUACCCCUUUCUGCUUUUGUUUCCAGUUUUAGCCCAACAAUUUCCUGUGUAACUAUGCUUUGGAUCCUGAUGGAAUAACCUGUUCAAUUAAAUUCAGACUAGGGUAAAAAGAGCAAAUAAUUUGGACUUUUAUCUUUUGUUGCUUUUUUUUAUUUAAACAUUUUCCUUUCUUAAAUAGCUUGUUUUUUCAAAUUCAUUUAUUUUAGCAUUCAUAAUUUUCGAG